AUGUUCAUUCCCCUAUUGCAAUGUAAACAUGGGUUAAAGCUUUAUUUAUUUAUUUAUUUUUCUUUUGACAGGCUCCAGGCAUUAUUUCUGUCUGGACUCAUAGGAUUCAUCUGUCUGUGCCGCUUUACCAGUUCUGCUGAUGUUCUCACAGAGCUGAACUACACCUCCUGCCAGAUAGAAACAUCAUCUUUUUUAACCUCCUCUGUCUGCCCCUCAAAACAUGGAUGACCUGUUUACUUUCUGUUUCUGUUUCAUUCAGUUGCUGAACUACUAUUGCUAAAGUAUUAAAUAUUAAAUCUAAUUUAGUCUCUAUGUAUAUAUUUUUUUGUUCAGCUAUUUGAACACACAUUGCUUUUAACAUACACACAAAUUCUAACAAUAAUGUCAUAGUGUCCUACUGGUUUUGUUAAUUUGUUUGUUUGUUCUCGCUUAAUGAUCACUGACCACCUGAACUGCUUGAGUUUACAUCUGCAUGUAUGAAAUCACUAACCCAUUCAGAAAUAGGGUUGCCAGCCGUUCCAUAUAAUACCCAAUCGUCCCAUAUAUAAGGCAUCAAGGAAGCAAUCAAGCUAUAUGGAACACAGUUUGUCCAGUAUUUGCAGACAUACACUGUAUGACCAUCUGGGUGUCAAACUCAAUUCCUGGAGGGCCGGAGUCCUGCGAGUUGAGAUUCAACCCUAAUUAAACACACCUGAUUCAACUAAUCAAGUCCUUCGGGCUUAUCUGAAAACUACAGAGUAGGCCUAUGUGUUUUGAAGCAGGGUUGGGACAAAACUCCAGGAAUUGAGUUUGACACACCUGACCUAGACCAUAUGAACAACAAAUUCUCAACUGAUAAUAAACCAUUGGUUUUACAUUGUUUGAAUUACGAACGUAGCCAUUUGUGGAUGUCUUUAAGACCUUGCAGAAUCCUCUGCCGCCUGGUUGCUCCCACUUCAGUGUGCGGGACUUGCACUAAUGGCCUCUUCACAGUCUGUGUUUUGAUUUCGGCAAAUCAGUUUUGGCAAAUGCAUAAUUAUUGGUCAUAAGCACAACAUCCAACUAGGCAAGGAAACAUUCAAACUACCAGAGUGAAGACAUCUUUCACAUUUGUAAGUGUGGAGGAAAUUUUAUUUUCAUCUUAAAUAUUAUUAUUAUUACUAUUAUCUGUAUUAUUUGCUUCACUGUACUAAAGAGUGUUCUUUAGACUGUCUCUGAGUGCUUUAGUUUGCUUGAGUUUUCGAUGCGCUUAGAGAUAACAGGAAAUCUAUUUGUGUGUGUGUGUGUGUGUGUGUGUGUGUGUGUGUGUGUGUGUGUGUGUGUGUGUGUGUGUGUGUGUGUGUGUGAGAAGAAUAAGUGUAGUAGAGUAUUGUAGAAAAAAAACCCUACAAUGUAAAAGCUUCUGUGAAAUUUACAUUUAGAAAGAAUAAGAGAGAAUUAAAUUGUGUGACAUUUAUGAAUAGAUUACAUGGCAAUUUGUUUUUGUUUUUUUAUAAUUAACAAAGUUGAAGUUUAUAUAGUUUUUUUUUCCUCUGGCUUAUGAUUCUCUUACAGAAUUACUUCAAAACAGCCCAAAUUAAGCUUAUAUGUCUAUAACUAGAGAAUCCAUUUAACUUUACUUCCCUACAUCUUGUGUGUGUGUGUGUGUGUCUGUGUUGUGUGUGUGUGUGUGUGUGUGUGUGUGUGUGUGUGUGUGUGUGUGUGUGUGUGUGUGUGUGUGUGUGUGUGCAAGACAAAUGUGAGACGUGAAAUGCUAUUUUAUACCUAGCUUCUUAGAAACACAUCUAGGGGAAAUAGUUAGAUACCUUCAAUGGACACAUACAGUAUGUUGAAUAUGCAUUAUGAUUGGAUGAAAUUGCUCUAAGCCCCAUUACUACUUAACAGGAAGCACCUAACAGGUAAUCUAUUGGUGACCAGUUAAUUAAAAUAUAGACUCAGUUCAGGUCACAGGUCACAUUUUAAACAAAACCAGGUGCUUUCUUGCUUGCAAUGUACUGUUCCCACCAUCCUUAAUUGAUCAUGCCUUUCAAGUAUGUUCCAGAAAUCGACUUAGAUGUGCAAGAGAUUUUUUUUCCCCAUAUGGUCACAGUUUUGGUAUCCUUAAAUUUCAAUUUUUAGAUAGUUGCAGGUAUGAAGUCUAGUCAAACAUUCAUUCAACAUUUACAAUUUAGAAGUCAGAAGUCAGAAAGAGAUUUAUAGCCAAGUAUGUUUACACACAUAAGGAAAAUGUACAUCUUUCAGAUGCUAUUCAUAAAGGUAUCAGUUAUGAUGGACAAGUUAUGAACAUUUUAAUUGUUUAGGCUGAAUAGCCUGUGGGAAAAAAGUGUUGUUGUGCCUGGCUGUUCUUGUGUCUGGCUGUUCUGGUGGUCAGUGAACCAGAAGGCAACAGUUUGAAAAGAGAGUAGCUGGGUGUGUGGGGUCCAAAGUGAUUUUCUUUGCCCUUUUUAUCACUCUGGAGGUGUAAAGGUGUGAUCUUGGAGGUUGGGCAGGGGGAACCAAUAAUCUUUUCAGCAGUCCUGACUGUCCGUUGUAGUCUCUUGAUGUCUGAUUUGUUAGCUGAACCAAACCAGACAGUUACGGACGAACACAGGACAGACUCAGUGAUGGCCAAGUAGAACUCUUUCAGAAGCCCCUAUGGCAGGUUGAAGUUUCUCAGCUGGUGAAAGAAAUACAGCCUCUGCUGGGCCUUUUUCACAAUGGAGUCUAUGUGAGUGUCCCACUUCAGGUCCUGAGAGAUGGUUGUGCCCAGGAACCUGAAAGACUCUACUGCAGACACAGUGCUGUUCAUGAUUGUGAGUGGGGGGAGUGCAGGGGGGUUCCUCCAGAAGUCCACGAUCAUCUCCAAUGUUUUGAGCGUAUUCAGCUCUAGGUUGUUGUGACUGCACACCAGACUGCACUCUUUAGCCUCCUGCCUGUCAGCAGACUUGUCUCCAUUGUGUAUGAGGCCGAUGAUGGUGUCACUUGAAAAUUUCAGGAGAUUGACAGAGGGGUCUUUUGCAAUUCAAUUAUUCGUAUACAGGGAGAAGAGCAGUGGGGAGAGCACAUAUCACUAAAGAGCUCCAGUGCUGAUCGUGAGAAUCAUGAUUUGUUCGUGAAUUCUACUACACCGGUAAAAUCAAUGGUAUCAAUUUGUAAUUCUAAGUUAGAACUAUAGGGCUGCACGAAGCACGAUAUAUCGAAAUGAUCGAAAUAUUGCAAAUGUAAAUAUCGCGAUAUGCAUAUUGCAGUUGCAUGCUAUAUCUGAAUCAUUUUAAUAAUAGACAACUUCAAUCAAAAAGUUGCAAAAGGUCAAAGUUUUAGGUCGACGCAUAUAGCAGAGAAUUGCUUGACAUUAAAGGGGUCAUAGGAUGCUGCUAAAAAUAGCAUUAUUUUUUGUAUUUGGUGUAAUGAAAUGUGUUUAUGCAGUUUAAGGUAAAAAAACCCACAUUAUUUUCCUACAUACUGUACAUUACGUUAUUUUCCACAUACUGUACAUUAUUGUUUCUCAUCUAUGCCCCACCUUCUGAAACGUAUCGAUUUUUACAAGACUCAUCGAUCUAAAAAAAAAGGCGAGGUGUGCUCUGAUUGGCCAGCUAUCCAGUGUGUUGUGAUUGGCCGUUAUGAAUACCUCAAGCGUGUGACGGAAAAGUUAUGCCCCUUAACCUAUUGUGAUGCCCUGUUCAGCCGGAGCGACAAGACAUAAACAUAAAACACAUUAUAAAUGUGAUAUAAACAUGAUUUCUAGCCGUUUCGUCUUUUGGAAGGCCAAACAAAGUAGUUUCGCUUUCUCAACGAAACAGCAUCACACACCGCGGCCUUGAGUGAGCAGAGACCAGCUUGAGUGAGCAGAGGCGGGUGGCUUGAGAAUGGCGUGGCCGGCAGAUUCUAUGAAGGAGCAACUGGUGAAACACAGUGCAAAGCUGAUGUAUUUCCUCAGCGACCAGCACGGAUCAGCUCCAGGCAUGACGAAACUGACGUAGAGAAAGAUCUUUUCUUCCACAUUAUGACGCUUAUGCAAAUGAAAGUGAUUAUCAAAAAGAAAA
rnacentral:lncRNA from 1 species